UAGGUGUAGUCAACAAAAUCCGUUGCAUGAAUGGUGGCCACGGUGACUUCCAUGUCUACCUUGACCCGAGACUUCGCAUCGAAAAUGGAAACCUCAGAAGGAAGCCUCUGCCAAAGGUGAUCAGACAGAGCUCACCCACGGCCACACCUCAUCAGACCCUAUUCAUUCACCCCUCCUGGACCCAAGUGAUUUACAGUGACAGAUCUGCUGUGGACUCCUUGAAGUGGAUCACUCUUUGAUUCUAAAAAACACAGAGGGAAACACAGUCCAUUCUUCCAGUUCUUGCAGUGGAAAGAGAGGUCUAGGAAUGAUAGGUGCUGUAUCCAGAACAUGACCACGGGGGGACGCCUGGAGGACGAGAGGAAGUGCGCAGAUGAUGACAGAGCUGGAGAAAGCGGGUCCCAGAUAGCAUGGCUUCAGCUCUCUGAAGAUUAGGGGAAGACGAUGGCUGAUCUGGGGCAUUUUCACUGAGGACAAAAACGAGACAGAUUAUGCUUUGGAGACUUCUUCCUGGAGGAGGCAACUCCCAUUUUUUACAAGGCGUCACUGAGAAUGAAGUCCUCCACUUAGAAUUUUACACACCUGAUGAAGAAGUUUUCCCGGAUUGGCUUCUGGCUCUACCUCUUAAGCCUUGCUUCCCCUCCACAGGUCACAUACUUCCAAAGUCAGGUUCCUGAAGCCUGUGCCUCCGCUUCCAUGAGACCAGAUGGAAAAAUAAGAUCUAGGACAAGAAGCAGAGGGGGCUAAGACAACACCUUAGGAAGGCAGCAAGCCCCUCCCUCCAUCUGAUGUCUAGAAUAUGUGGAAGAGCAAACAUACUAAGCACCUCCUGCUUUCCAGAUUUAGGCUGACUGCACUCAGCUUUCUAAUACAACAGCCCAGCCUUCUCCAGUGAUACUGCAGGCACACAGACUGAGCCCCUGUCUGCUAGACCUCUGCCAUCUUUGCUGCCUCCCUCCCAACCUUCAGUCCUGGAACACUCCCCCUGGCUUCCGAACCCACAGAACCUUGAAGCAGCUUGCAGCUUGGAAGACUCCUCGAACGGGAACAAUCAGCGCUUAUAAGCCCGCGUGGGCCGGAUCCAGCUACAGCACUGUUAGGGUGACAGACUCUGAUCACUGCCCCGGGACCACGGCUGGAGGACUCGCCCACCACGGAGCAUCCACACGCCAGGAUGGCAGGCUUGGGCCUCAAACUUGCUCCAGUUCUGGUGUCCGAGAAAAUGGAGGGAGUCUGGCCCGCCGGAGGAUCUUCCUCUCUCCCAUCAGACUGGAGGCUGCGGAUGCUCCCGGACAGGCGUUAUGCCAGCCCUGAGACCGUUCCCCCUGCCCCCUGGCAGGAAUGAGGCCGGGCCACCACACAUGGUCACUUGCUUGUGUUGUGAUUGUCUGCAUCCAGCUUGUCGCCCCGAUCCCUGGAAAUCUCGCAGGUGCAUGUUGCUGUGAGAGUGUGGGCUGAAAGGGCCAAAAGGAGGGAACUGAAUUCCCUGAACUCAGCUUGUAAAUCCCUGGAAUGAAGAAAGCAAGGCUUCAGAAAUGGAAGAUAAUCAGCCAUGCAAGAAACACGGGAACGGUGUUGAAACCUGUGCUUGGAGCCUCUGCUGGGUCCUUCUGAGGGAAGCAGGUGAUUCUGAAGCAUUCUGGAGGUGGAGAGCCGGUGGUGGAGAGGUUUAAGUGCAUGGAUUCUGGAGCGUGACUGCGUUUGAAUCCUGGUGGGUCAGUACAAGUCCACAGGAUUCGGCUUGCAACAGAUGUCUGCCUUCUCCUGAAGAGAAAAGCUGCACGAUGAUUUCCUUUGCCUGUAUUCUCAGCACUUACCAAGGGUGGAUAUGUAGGUUUUCAAAAUAGGUUGAGUGACAUCUCCAAGGUCCUACAGAUGGCAAACAGCAAAAUGGAGAUUCAAAUCCAGGUCCCUGAAUCUGAAGGUCACUUGAUGGGCUCUCAUUCCACAACCCCAGCUGCCUGCCCCUGCUCGUGCUCCCAUUCCCCGGCAGGCCUGGAGCCUCUUCCACCAGAUAAAGAUCAUGAGAUGCUGACAUGUUCAUUUAUAUAAUACAUGAAGAAACCGGAAAAGAGCACCAAAACUUGUCAUGGAACACUCAGCAGGAAAGUUGGAAAAGGUGAAAAUGUGGACCAAGUAUGAUACCAUGAAUUAAAGUGAAACAAUCAUCUUUAUGAAGAAAGAAGAUUAAACAAUAUACAAGAACUCACAGAGGAGGAGACACUAGAGGAAAUACCAUUGAUCUGAGAGAGAGAAUGAGCAUGCAUGAUUAGGGGGCGAAGAGGAAGAGGGACAAGCAGACUCCGUACUGAGUGUGGAGCCCGACGCAGGCCUUGAUCUCACAACCCUGAGAUCAUGUUCUGAGCCAAAACCAAGAGUCAGACACUUAACCCACUGAGCCACCCAGGCACCCCCCAGUUGCUAGAUAAGUUUUGACUCCAAAAGCCCCCUGUGGGACUUCACUCUGCAAGUAUGCAUAAAUGUGCAUUUGAAGUAACCUAUAUACGGCUAUCCAUUACAUUACUUGAAAGAGCAAAAGGCUGAAAAUAACUGACAUGUCUAUGGUUAAAUCAAUUAUAGUACAUCUGCCCGAUGAAAAACUCUUAACAGCUACAUGUAUGAGACCCAAGGAUUUCUAAGAUAAGUUAAGAAACUGAAGUGUAUCAUAUGCUACUAUCUGUGCUAAAAGGGAGAAACUGAGAAGCUGAACUUGUUACUUCAAGAUACAUCAAGAACCCUUCAAGGAUAUACAAGAAACUAGUAAGAAUAGCCUGUUUUAUGGAGAGGGGCAGCUGGACAGGUAGUAGCCAGAACGGGAGGGAGAAUUCCUGUAUUCCUUGAAAUACUCUUCCAUCUGUACCUCCUUGGAAAAUUAAAGUCUGCUCCUUGUCUGUCUCCCCCACAAAGCCCUCUGUCUCCUCAGCGCUGAGCCCAAGGCCCAAAACCACAGGUGUCCAGGUGAGUUUUGCUGACCAGAAGAACACAUGAACAAAGCAAGGAACAGAUGCAGCGCUGGGGGAGGGCCCCAGGUGGGAAAAGGCCCCAGUGCUGUGACUGCGGAAGUCCUGGGAGCCGUGCAACUCAGGAGAGUGCGUGCCACCCCAUCACUUCCAACGCCACGUGUUAACGUUUCCUUUUUAACCUGAAGGGGAAAAGCAAUCCCUAAACUCUGGAUUUUUUAAAUCAACACAAUCUAUGUGCUAGUCUCUAUCCUGCCCUGUGAUCAAUCCCAGCACUCCCUGAGUCAGACACUCCAGGGGGUGCAGAGAUGAUGAAGAUGCUGCCCCUGCCUGGCGUGCAGCCUCCCCUCUCCUUAUUUGUAAAAGGAGAGCGUGUUCCCUCCACUGAGUUAGUAGAAUUUUAAUGAUGAAGACCCAAGCUGCUUUCUGUCCCCAAACGCUCUUUCCUAGAGAACCAAGGUUUGGUUCAAUUAUGUGUUUAUCUGUAGCAUCUUCCCAACACCCUCCAGGAGGACCUGAAUGCCCCCCUCUGGGGCAUCCCCAGGGCCUCCAACUUCCAGUUCCGCUUUUCCACGCUACGCCAUAACCUGUUUUGUUCCUUUGGGACCUUGAGAGCCGACGUGGCAAGGAUUCUGCAGUCGUCCCAAGUGUAAUUAUCCCCAGUUCCUGGCAGAGUGUCUGGUUACCAGUACGCAAGGAUGUAUGUUUGCUGAGGCACCACGAAAAUAACAGGAGUACCCGGAGCUCUGUGACGACAGUGCCCCCACCACCCUACAAACACCAAGAAUAAGCAUGAUGAACAGGUCAAGUAACAAAGUGGCUGGUCAUGUGCCACUGAGGACGGAUGUAGGGGAGAGCCCUAACUACCACCGAGACAAGUAACUCCCAGCCAAAAGAAGACCGGACUGCAUGGGGGGAAGAGGCAGGAGACAUGCAUGCGAGCCUGACUCAAUUACGAUGAGUGUAUGUGGAGACACAUACUGUGUCCAUGAAGCCUCAGGAGGCCUGAGAAGGUGAUCCUAUUCUCCACUUCACAUUGGAGAAUACCAAGACAGUCGUGUGGGAGACCUUGCCCAUUCUCAUCUCCAGUGCCCCCAACACACACACACACACACACACAAAGGCCAAGGCUGGCCUUUGAACCCUGGACCGAAUGACUCAAGCCAGGCUCUUCCUUCUACCCACGCUGACUUGCAUAUGGGAAAGGAUGGCCUGAUUCUCCUGGCACAAAUACCACACACACUCCCUUGCUCCAAGCAAAGGAAUUAUAAGGAAGCCUGGCAGCUCUGAGUUCAAGUGUCAAUAGGCUGAAAUGAGGCCCAUGGGCUUUCAGACUGGCACUAACCCAACUACGAACACAGCGGCCUAUAGCCAGCAGUCCCUGGCAUCCUAUUUUCCUGUUUCUUUGUAUGUUGUGACUGAGAGAUGCUCUUGAACGAGCCCACACACCUGGCUGGUUUCACCACUGGCUUCUCACUCCUAUCUGCAUAGUUACCACUAAGUAAUUUCGUUUAUCUGUGUCUCCGUGAGCUUAUUUGGAAACCAUGGAACGCUGCUUACAGAAAAUUAAGCUUCAUUUUCUUUAAGCACCAGCCACUAGUGCAGGCAGGAGACGGUGAUUUGGAGGUAACUGGCUUAUGCAUAUGCAAACAUGAUGCACUUAGCAAAUUAUGUAGACUUCACACUUCAGAGCACUGAAGAAAACAAAAGUACCUCCGAAAGAAAUUCUAGCACGACAGAGUCAUUCUGAAAAGAAUAGAGAGACAUUGGUUUGUGAAAACUGUUGGACUCAGAUACGGAUGGAAAUAAUGGUUUUUGAUGUGCAACAUGUGGUGGCCACAAGCCCACUGUGAACAGGUCUCAUUUUAAGUGGUGUUAAGGCAUCUCGAAGGACUUCCAAGAAUUAAAGCCCACGGCAUGCCUUGAGAUUGAAUUCAUGGUGUGAUGAAGCUGCACAUUUCCAACUCAGUUCCACUAUAACUCUUCUGCCUCACACAAUUUCCCAGCAUACGUUUUUCUUCUUGGGCCUAGAGAGAGAAUUCUAGGACGACCUCGAGCUCAAACAGCAUAGCAACCAUUGAACCUGCCGUCUGGGCCACACCUACCCUGUUCGGCUUCAGUCUCUUCCAAGAUGUCACUGGCAACACAAGGUGCUGGAGAGGUGAUCACGAGUCUCCCUCCGCUGAGAGUCACCUUACAAGCCAGUGUGGUGGACUUGAGGGCUGCUGGGUGGGAUGGGAGAGAGUCCUGGGCCCGAGGGCUUCUAGUCUGCACACGGUCUGUCUGCAGGCAUUGCCUCUCUAACUGAUCUGUGGUGCUCUGCUGGCCAGCUGUCACCUGUGCAGGAAGGUGGCACCCAUGCAGCUC